GCCCUCUGCAAAGCUUCUAGACCAGGCAAAGUUCUUCAGCAGCAAACAAACUUGUCUCCAGAUUGGGUUUUGGUUGUACUAGUUUGACUGGAGCUUACAGUGUCCUUUUACCAGAGGAAGAUGGAAUUGCAGUCAUAAAAUAUGCUUUUGAGUGAAGUCCUAGUUGGAAAGUUAUGAUUCGUAUGAACAAUAAACUAUUUUUCUUUUGAUUUGUCAUAUUGUUUGAUGUUAUGAACUGCUCUAAUGUGCCACAUGACUGGACACAAGAAGAGCAAAUGCGGCCUCUGUUUUGGAAUUAAACUUAACGUUGGAAAAAUGAAUAACAACACCUCAACAUCUAAUGCAUUGGAAUUCAUUCAAAGAUUUAGUUCUAUAUCAAGUGCGUAAGAUACUUUUGUCGAUAGGCAAGCUUGUAUUGUGAAGAGCAAACUUUGCACUAUUAAAUCUCAACACCCAUAUAAAUCUUCUAAAAAUAUUUCUUUUCACAGUGUUAAAAGUUGAUUGCUUCAAAAAAUAACUAAUUGCAAGUGAACUUUUCCUUAGAGAUUAAUUUGUUGAGAGAGUUGGUGUAUUGGUUACUACUUGCCAACCUUCAAUGAUUUUUGUUGUUUUUUGGAAUUUUAGGCAGAGCAUCCCCACCUGUAGUGAGGUAAGUGGGAUAAGGUGUGAGAUGAACUUGAUAAAUAUUACUGAUAAGAAAAUGAAUUUGGUAAACAAUAAUACAGGGUGAGUAUGUUGAGCUUCUUCAUAUGAUGCAUAAAUUUGAACAUGCUUUUUAUAUGGCUUAACUAGCCAUCUAGGCUAUUUAGCCUUUCUUACUGGCUUCCUUUUAUGGGUUUUUGUUCUCUUCUUAUAGGAGCUUAGGUUGCACCAUGUCAAGUUAGAAGCACUGUUGAUCAUUGGGUGACUAAGAAUGGUGUCAUGCAUAAUUUGUAUGAAUAAUACAAUGAGUAUGAUGGUUCAUGCAUUUUACUAAGUGAUAGAUAAGUAUGAAUAGAUGAAGUUGCUUAUGUAAACUAAUCAAUUUUCUCAUUUUCAUGUUAUCUAUUUUUGUUUUCAUAUUUUUACUCCUAUCGACAUAGUAAAUGAGUAUUUCAAUUAGCAAUUGUGGAAUUUGGCAUGUGUAUACUUCACUCACUUGUCCUCAGUUGUUCUUGCUGAAAUCUUUUGUCAUUUUCUUUUUAUAUCAAUGGCGAAAAUUGUUUCAGGCAUUGAAGCGCUUACCUCGAGAUAAAAUCCAAUUAGCAACAAAAUUUGAUAUAUACAUGAUUACAGAAACAAAACAAAAUUUGUUAGCACAUGGUCUUUAAUAUCAAACUCUACAAAUGACCUUUUAUUGUGGUGGAUAGUGCUGUGGUUUUGAUAGCUUGAUCCAUGUUCCGAUUUUCCUAAUUUUUAUCUCGUUAGGGGGAAAAAAUGUCUUCGUACAAUACAAUUCCUUAUGUUAAUCAUAAUAUUUUUGGCUCUUAAUGUUCUUUAGGAGGGCUUACUUGGUUUAUAUGCUCUUAGGAAGGAUUGAGAAGUUGGGAUUAUGGUUUCCUAGAGGAUGUGAUUGUCCUGGCUUCCAUCUUAUUUGAAAAGUUUCAUGCCCCUUGUAUGUACAGGCAUUGGUGAUUUGAUUGAUCAUAGUCAAUUAUAUCCAAGCGAAAUUCAGAAUCAAGACCCAAGUAAAGCUUUUUGGAAACUUUUUUGCAAGCCUUGCUACAAAUCACACAUUGUCUCUUUCUCAGAGAUCAAUAAAACGUUUAAAUACAUGCUCAAAGGGGACGGCCUUCGCUGCAUCAUUCAAAUGGAAGAGUGAAACUUGAAGAAGCAAAAAAAAUUAAUUAUUUGUAGCUGGUUGAGUCAGCUCAAUUGGGUUACCUUUUUGAAACUUCAUUUGUAUCUGGUUUUUUUUAUUUCAUGAGGUGUUGAACCUUCUUGUAUCUUUCCAGUGGUUUGUAAAUGAUUGUAAUUGGUCGUUGUUUAAUUAAUGGUAAUCUUUUGUGAAUGAAAUUUCCAGUUUUUGGUAUUA